rnacentral:rRNA from 1 species
CCCUUAGAUGUCCUGGGCCGCACGCGCGUUACACUGAUGCAUUCAACGAGCUUAUAACCUUGGCCGAGAGGCCUGGGCAAUCUUGUUAACGUGCAUCGUGAUAGGGAUAGAUUAUUGAAAUUAUUAAUCUUGAACGAGGAAUUCCUAGUAAACGCAGAUCAUCAAUCUGCAUUGAUUACGUCCCUGCCCUUUGUACACACCGCCCGUCGCACCUACCGAUUGAAUGGUUUAGUGAGGCCUUCGGAUCCGCGACUCGUUUGUGGAGAAGUUGGACAAACUCAGUCAUUUAGAGGAAGUAAAAGUCGUAACA